UACGGAAUGUGCAAACGUUAUUCGGAAUCACUGGGCUUAAAGAGUCCGUAGGCGGCAUGUUAGGUGAGGUGUGAAAUCCCCCGGCUCAACCGAGGAAUUGCGCUUCAAACCGGCGUGCUUGAGGAAGAUAGAGGUGGGCGGAACUGAUGGUGGAGCGGUGAAAUGCGUUGAUAUCAUCAGGAACACCGGAGGCGAAAGCGGCCCACUGGGGCUUUUCUGACGCUGAGGGACGAAAGCUAGGGGAGCGAACGGG
rnacentral:rRNA from 1 species